rnacentral:rRNA from 1 species
UACGUAGGGUGCGAGCGUUAAUCGGAUUUACUGGGCGUAAAGCGUCUGUAGGUGGUCAAUAAGUCAACUGUUAAAUCUUGAGGCUCAACCUCAAAAUCGCAGUCGAAACUAUUAGACUAGAGUAUAGUAGGGGUAAAGGGAAUUUCCAGUGGAGCGGUGAAAUGCGUAGAGAUUGGAAAGAACACCGAUGGCGAAGGCACUUUACUGGGCUAUUACUAACACUGAGAGACGAAAGCUAGGGUAGCAAAUGGG